AUGUCCCCGUUGAAAGCUGUAGCGACGUGUGGGCUUUGGGCAAGCGCCUUUAGACACAGGGAACGUUCGCUCACACAAGCAGCAGCGUGUGAAUCACAGGAGGUUGUGUCUAUCGUGGAUCAGAGAAGGAAUUGCUGAUGCGGGUUUAAACUGAACACUUUGGCCACCGACCACUGGAAGAUUUGAGAGAAAAUGUUCCUUGAGAAAUUGGAUUCAGGAGACAGCCAAACACACAGUCUUCCUGUAACAUCUUUAUCUCGUUAGCAGCUUAAUGGGAUUGCCCUUGUUUGGUUUCACUCCACAUUCUCUGGAAGUAACAGAACCAGCUUCUCUGGAAUCCAUUUCAAACACAAAAUACUAUUGUUGCUGGAAAGAUGGAAUAAAAAGAAUAAAUGCUUCAAACAUUCAGCAGGCCAGGCAGUAUCCAUGUGGAGAGAAACAGUUAAUGUUGCAAGUCUUUCACUUGAACUUCUGAACGUCAGUCUCCAGAUGAGUUUUGGGAUGGGAAGCAGGUUUGACAUUGUUAGACAACAAAAACAAACAAAUGUAAAAAAGAGAAAGCUAUGGGCAAUCGUAUGUGUGCACAAGGAAAAAGUAGCUGCUCUGCAUCAAGAUCAAGUUGCAUAUUGGGUGGAAAUCUCAACAACGCACAAGACAAAUGUCGUCAAGCUGGAAAGGAUGUUGAGAAGAUUUACGAGGAUCUUGCCAGGACUUGAGGGCCUGAGCUACAGGGGGAGUUUGAGCAGGCUGGGCCUCUAUUCCCUGGAAUGCAAGAGGAUGAGAGCCAGAAUGUCAUUAUGCAUAAACGUAUGGUUCAACAUUGAAACUGACCAAGGGUUCAUGAACAUGUGAAAAAAUAUUCAGAUGGAUGAAAAGAUUAAUAUCCACAUCAUUUCACCUCGCUGAGUUGGAUUAAAAUACAGUUUCCAUUAAUCCUGAAAAUUCCUCACUUAUUGAUGACUGAACUCUUUGGCAAAGGUUAAUCAGUAUUAAAGUACUCAAAUAUGGUUAACAAUUGCAAGAACAAUGAAUGAAGCAUUUAGAUGAAUGAAUCCCUCCUAUAGCUGGGCAACCAGAACUGCAAACAAUCUUCCAAGAGUGGUCUCAUAAAUGACGUGCAGAAUAGAAAAUAUUCUCUUGUGAAACAAAAGUGGUUACUUAUAUAAAACUGAAUUUCGCACAAAAAAAACGUAUGCUAUCCUUUUCUUACUUUGGUAAAAAUCAUGAAAAUACAUUCUAUUCCUAGUCAUUAGCCUCAAAAUUCAAAUGGUAAAUUGUUCAUCUUACGCAGUUUGCAUUUGUUUUUCCAAAAUGUUUUUGUGCCUUCUACCACAGUGAUGAAUGCUGUGGUGGAUGUUUAUGUUACAUGUUGUGUCCUGUUUAUGCAUUUUAUUAUUUUGUUAACCCAUCUUUAUGCCUUGUAUGGAACUGAUUUUUAAAUUGUGUAAAGCACUUUGGGGUCAAUGAAAAUUGACUAUAAAUGUGCUAUAUAA